GAAAAAAGGAUCAAGAUCAGAUCCUUUUGGGACACCACAUGCAUCAUUCUUAUGGGACACCACGUAAACUGAAUCAUACAGCUAUCUGUUGCUGAAAUAAACAAAGCCAAGACAACACUAUCUUUCUAAAGAAAAUCGAGGAAGGAUUUGAAGAUUAACUGUGUCGAAGGCUUAUUGAAAACAAGAAAAAGUCCACAUCCACGCUCUUUAUGACAUCAACGAUAAUCUUAAACCUAUCAGUGCUACAAGGAAGAAAGAGGCUUAAGAAAGUUUUCACAAAGCUUCUUUGCCUUGUGAAAAGUGUCGAUAUCAAAUUGAUCAAAGGAAGCAAAAAGGCCAUUUGGGAAAAUGCAUUGAAUAUUCAAUGUUCAUCACAAGGUUGCUUUUAAUUUAGGCGUCGGAACUUCUCACUUCAUGUACAUGUGUAGUUAAAUAUUGGAUGUUUUUUAAGAAGAUGACUCUCAAUUUCGGCGUUUAAGUUUUCUAAAUAAUUUUUGCAUAAAUAUUCGGGAGCAAUUUAAUGUCAAUCCUGGCCAAUUGCUUGAGAAAAUUUUCACCCGAAUUUUCCUGAUACAAUCUCUAUUUUCUUGUUUGAUCUUUAAAAUGAUAACGAGUCUCGAAAAUUAUCUCUCUGGUAUUCAUGACGGGUACCGCUCUCAUUUAAAUCAUAAUACUUGACAAUUAAUGAUGUAGCUGUCCUCAUAGUACUUUGUGGUGAUUCAGAAAUAGCUGAGAAAAAAAGACUUUAGAUAAUAGCCGCGAAGGAAAAAGUAAAUUGAAUUUGUAGCUGUAGAAAGAAUAUGGCUUGUAUUAUGAAGUAUGUCGGAUCACUUCGGCCUUCUUCCAGUUGUUCUCAGAGCAGAGCCUGUACAAUAGAGAACCAUAGUUGCCCUUGACUUUAUUAUUUUUACCUUCUAGAGGCUGUGAUACUCCGCAAUUGGUCCCAUCUGCUUAUGCAUCAAUCAAGUUCCUCGUUGGGAUAAGACAGACUUGAGUUCAGGCGAAUCUAAUAUUUGUGAUAAGGAAGAUGUUUCUGUUGUGCUGAAAAAUUCCACUGUCAUGGAACAAUGAUACCGUGGCAUAUGGCAUUCAGUUUUUGCCAAGGUUAAUAACGGCGAAAAUCAUGACAAGUAGAAAAGUAUUAAGACCUUUUGGUGCCUAUGGCCUCAAAGAAUGAUGUAAAGAAUCUUCAGAAGAAUUUGUUUCAGAAGAGGAAGUCAACUGGUGCCAGGAAAUGUUCUCCCGGAAAGUUCCUAUUGUAUUCUUGGUUCUACUUUCUACUACCAAAGAGCGAGUCAUCACACGAUGAUGCAAGCCAUUCAUUUUUAUGUUGAUUCUUGUCCUCAGCUUCAAUUCAAAG